GAAAACUUAGAAACUACCAUUGGAUCGAGAAAUGGACGUCCGAGAUUCAUCCACGUCACCAUGAGUUAAAAUUUAACUCCACUAAAAUUUUAAUCAUGAGUGAAUAUGCGAGUUAAAUUUUAACUCAUGGUGAUGUAGACGAAUCUCGUACGUCCAUUUCUCGAUCCAACGGUACUUUCCAGGUUUAC
rnacentral:pre_miRNA from 1 species